rnacentral:rRNA from 1 species
AUCCCUGAUAAGUGAGAACUCCUGGAAUGGAUUCUCGCUCAAAGGACGUUUAGACCAUGCUUCUAGGCGUCGCCCAAGGAGGGGGCCGCGACCGAUCAGGUUGUUGGUGAGGUAACGGCUCACCAAGCCUUUAACCGGUACGGGCCGUGAGAGCGGAAGCCCGGAGAUGGGCACUGAGACAAGGGCCCAGGCCCUACGGGGCGCAGCAGUCGCGAAAACUCCGCAAUACACGAAAGUGUGACGGGGCCAUCCCGAGUGCCAUCCGCUGAGGAUGGCUUUUCCCCAGUGUAUAAAGCUGGGGGAAUAAGGAGAGGGCAAGCCUGGUGUCAGCCGCCGCGGUAAUACCAGCUCUCCGAGUGGUGGGGAUGUUUAUUGGGCCUAAAGCAUUCGUAGCCUGCUUGGCAAGUCCUCCGUUAAAUCCAACGAUUCAAUCGUUGGGCUGCGGGGGAUACUGUCCAGCUAGGGGGCGGGAGAGGCCGACGGUAUCCCCGGGGUAGGGGUGAAAUCCUAUAAUCCCGGGAGGACCACCAGUGGCGAAGGCUGUCGGCUAGAACGCGCUCGACGGUGAGGGAUGAAAGCUGGGGGAGCGAACCGGAUUAGAUACCCGGGUAGUCCC